AUUAGGGAAGGGUUAUAUGGUUGAUGAGUGAGUGAGUUACGAUAUUGAUGAAGCACAGAAUCUGCUAUCAAGGGCUCGCGGCGGUGCGAGGUGAUGCCGGAGGCUUUGGAGUCCAUGACGCGCGAUCUACGUCAAAUCCUGGAGGAGGGGAAGAGACGAUUCAGGUGUAGGAAUCGGCGAUUCCUGUCUGAAUAUGCUCUAGUUGUGAUGGAACUGUGAUCUGCCUUGAAAUGACCUCUUGGGACCCUUUUUAUAGGGUCUUUGGGGGCGCAAUCUGGGACGGGCAUCACGUCC
rnacentral:lncRNA from 1 species